rnacentral:rRNA from 1 species
ACUACGGGAGGCAGCAGUGGGGAAUAUUGCUCAAUGGGGGAAACUCUGAACCAGCGACGUAGCGUGAGUGAGGAAGUAUCUCGGUAUGGAAAGCUCUAUCAGUAGGGAAGAAAAUGACGGUACCUGACUAAGAAGCCCCGGCUAACUACGUGCCAGCAGCCGCGGUAAUACGGAGGGGGCAAGCGUUAUCCGGAUUUACUGGGUGUAAAGGGAGCGUAGGCGGAUAAUCAAGUCAGAAGUGAAAACCUAGGGCUCAACCUUGGGACUGCUUUUGAAACUGAGUAGCUUGAGUGCAGGAGAGGUAAGCGGAAUUCGUAGUGUAGCGGUGAAAUGCGUAGAUAUGAGGAGGAACACCAGUGGCGAAGGCAGCUUACUGGACUGUAACUGACGUUGAGGCUCGAAAGCGUGGGGAGCAAACAGGAUUAGAUACCCUUGUAGUC